rnacentral:misc_RNA from 1 species
GAUGAAGAACGCAUCGAAAUGCGAUAAGUAAUGUGAAUUGCAGAAUUCAGUGAAUCAUCGAAUCUUUGAACGCACAUUGCGCCCGGCAGUACUCUGCCGGGCAUGCCUGUUCGAGCGUCAUUUCAACCCUCAAGCCCUGCUUGGUGUUGGGGCCCUACGGCUGCCGUAGGCCCCGAAAGGAAGUGGCGGGCUCGCUACAACUCCGAGCGUAGUAACUCAUUAUCUCGCUUAGGGCGUUGGGCGGCGCUCCAGCCGUUAAAGAACCAUCUUUAACUCAAGGUUGACCUCGGAUCAGGUAGGAAUACCCGCUGAACUUAAGCAUAUCAAUAAGCGGAGGA